ensembl:lncRNA
UUUUUUUUUUUUUUUUUUUUUUUUUUUAAUUUUUAAAGACUGAAGCAAAAUAAAUAUAGGAAGCUUCAUCUUUAUAUGUGUCUGUUACUUUCUGUUACUUGCUCUUCUCUAUUAAAUGAUUACCUUAUAUUUUCUUUUGUCUUUCUCAGAUUUCAAGUACAUAUCCUUUUUGAUUUUUAUAUACCUAGCUGGUAUUAAUUCAUUUUGCACAUUAACAUUUCUUAUUUUGUCCAUCAUGCUUAUGUUUUCUGAUUAUAAAUAUCCUAUGGAUAUGGAGGUGUUUUAAUUUAUAUUACUGGAGUGGAUAAAAACGUUCCUUAUUGCUCAUUACUGUUGCACUGCUAGAGGUUAUAGCCUCCAUGCUUGCUAAUCCAUGGGUUAGUGUAAAUCAUUGCUAGGGGUGAAAUACAAAAGAUGUUCUGAAAUGCUCAAUCAUCUAUUACUUUUCCCACUUGUCUUUUUUUCAAAGAAUUCCAUAUUUUCAUCUUUUUCUGCUUCCUACUUUCUUCUAUGUUGACAUAAUUGUACUUUUCAUGUCACCUUUUUUUCAACAGCUGCAAGAUCUUUUGCACUCCUAUUCUCAACAGUUGUUUACACAAGAAAAUCUAUUUCAGGGAGGUUUCUGAUUUUAAGAAAAUCAGCUUAUUUUGAAAAGCGUGAUUAGUUAUAGAGGAAUUGGAAAUUGUUCAAGAAAGCUUGAGCAAGACAAUUAUUUUCCAAAAGAAGGCUGAAAUAUUUCUUACAGAGGCCCACAAAGCACAUAUCUUUUCUGUGAGUCGAGGAGGUUGAUGACAAUUGUUUGCAGUUAGAAAAGCUUUCAGACAUUCACCACAGACUACCUUUGGUUCACACGCAUAAUUCUAAGUUUGAAGCACAUUCUACAUGAUCAGGCAUGUAAAGGUGGAAAGAUUGUCUUAAAACCAAUGCAUUUCAUUCUCAUAUUAAUUUCAGCUUCUCUUGUAUAAGCUCUGAUUUGCAUACCAACAGUCAGUGGCAGAAAAAAGUUUAAAGUAAGAAAGUAAGCUUUGUUGCUGCAGAUCUCUCAAACUUGACUGUGAAGCAUGGGUGGUCUCAUUUGCUAUUCUCCAACUUUUUCUCAUCUUGUGAAUUGAUUGUCAGAGGACUUCUUGAUUUGCUAUAGGAUGUUUAGUAUUGUUACACUCCUGAAGCAAAGAAUAUUCGAUGAGAUUUUGUUGUUAAUAAUGUAGAAGAAAUUGGCAUAUUGGAGGAAUCCAUCAAUCAUACAUUUAAAAGAAACUAAUAGUUGAUGCUUCAAAGACAGAUGUUCACAUUCUUUAAUCUGCUAAAUCCUUGUAGUGUUAUUGAAUUGCUUUAGACUUACUAGUUCAGAGGACAGCACUGUUCUGUCCUUAGACCAAUUAACUGGAUAUCAUCCCAUUGACAAGAGUUGUGCUGGGACUGCUUUAACAGUUAACAGGUUCUUUGCUGGGAAAGAAAGAUAAAAUUGUUUUACUUACAAACCAAAGUGAGAUGGUGAGACUAAUUUUGAACUUCAUAUCCUUGAAAAUACUGUUGUAACUGUGUAGCCAUUCAGAAAGCUUAAGAAAAAAAAAUCACUGCAGAAUGAGGGAUGCAGAAUUUAAAAGGGAAAAAACAGUUAAUUUCCAAAAAUUUUUCUACCUGAUAUAGGAUAAAAUGACUCUAUGACAUCAGCACUAAGGUAUUGGAGAUUCCUUCUAGUAAAAAAUAGAAAGAAGUUUUUCUACAUCAUUCUUCAUUAAAGUUGUCACUUUUAAGGUAGCAACUAGUUUACCUAAUUCCAGCUGCAACAAGUAAGAUCUCAAAAUAUAAAAGAGAAGGAGCAGAGAAGAGAUUUUUGAUCAUGUAAGCCUGAUGAAUUUCCUCCAGCAGUACUUAAAGAAUAGACUGAUGAAAUUUUAUGUCUAUUCAUAAUUUGAGAGUCUGGGAAAGAAUGAACUUCCAGAAAAUUGACUUUGCACAACAAAGGUUUCUCUCUUUAAAAAACACAAAGUGUGUAGAAAUUAUAGACCACUUGACUAACUUCAAUUUCUAAAAAAGUAUUGAGUAAUCAAAGAAAAUAUUAGUAAGCAACACAAAGGUAAGGAGAGGAGGAAUAGUCACCAUGGAUUUGCCAAGAACAAAUCAUAUAGAACAAGUCUAAUUUCCUUCUCAAAGUGGGUAUCAGUCCUUGUUGACUUAGAAAAAACAAUUUAAUAUUUUUCUUGAUGUUAAUAAAGCUUCUGACACUGUCUGACAUGACAUUUACAUAAGCAAGCAAAAGAAAUAAAUAGACAAAUUAAUGGAUGUAUGUAAAAUGAGUUUAAAAAUUGUACUUAGAGAAUAGUUAGUGAUGUUUCACUGUCAGAACGAAAGGCUGAACUGCAUGGAAUUUCACAGUAGUCUAUCCUGAAUAUUGUCAUUACUCCGAAUGUAGAGAGAGAGGCCCAUUUUAGCACUGCAAGACAUGUGAAUCCUUUUUCGAGUAACUUCCAGAGACUCUGAUAUGAACAGCUUUAGUUUUGUUUUUUUUGCUGUAGCCAAGUAGUUAGAAAUGAAAUCAUGUCAACUUCCUCACUUAAAAGUGUUCCCCCUCUAAAAAUGUAUCCUGUCUUAUUCUAGAAGGGACUGUGUAACUUGUAGGCUGGACUCCCAGAGCCAGCUGCAAGGAUUCUCUCUACUCAUCUAUGUUAGGGCUCCCCAUAAUCAUUGAGCAUGACUAUAUAUUCACCACAUGAGUGUGAAAGCUCUUGUUUGUGUGCGGAGUGAGUGGGGAGAACCGGAGCAUGCACACUGUUGAAUGGUUGUGUUAAUGUCAGUCAUAAAAAAUGGGUAGGCUGCAGGACUGAUGAGUAUUUUCAAACUGACAUUGCAGCCAACUGGAUCAGUUGUCUGACUGCCAAAGGCAUCAUGAAUUUAGACAUAAUGGCAGUGAAACAAGCAGCAAGUAAAGGGGGAUGGGUCUGAAAGGCAAGAACUAACAGGUUUCAUUCAAAAUAAAAAUCUAAAGCAAAAGAGGAUUUUGUUGGCUUUCUUUGCUCUCAUUUGCUGAUAUGUUGAACUCUACUAAUUGAUUCCAUUAACAGGAAACCUGUCUUUGUGAGGAGACUGGAGUUUUCAGAACAAAUGCUUUUACAAAUUGAAUAUAUUAUAAAGUUGGUUGUAUUUGGCCUCUUAGGCAAGAUACAAAACAACAUCCUUGAAGUUCCAUUAGUAGAACACAAUGUUCACAUCUACACGAUCCCCAUAAUGAAUUCCUUAUCGGCAUUAUUUAAAAAAUAACCAGAAGUUGAAAAAACUGCAAGCAGGGUACCUAGGAGAAGGAGAUUGUAGUGAGCCUUCCCUGUGAACUUCUUCCUCCAUUCAUCUACCAGGAAGAUCUUCCAUGCUUUCCAUUAAGCUGGGGAGAUUCCACAAUCCCAGAGACCUUCAUGCCAAGCGUCUGUGAUUCUCUGAAAUUGCUCUGCUACAUGAAGCUACACAGUGUAAGUUUUUAAAGUAAUGC